rnacentral:lncRNA from 1 species
UUUUUUUAACAUUUUGAUAAAAAAGAAAAAUAAAAAGAAUAAAAAUGAAUAAAAAAAGGGCACGAAAAUAUGCAAAAAUAAAAAUAAAAUGAAUGCAUUAAAACGAUCUAUGCAAACUAAAGCUCUAGAAAACAAAAAGAUAAAUAUCAAAUUUUGCGAUAAAAAAUUCUCGGUUCAAAAGGCUCUGACUGAUCAAAAUGCAAACUCAAAU